UACAGAGGUCUCAAGCGUUGUUCGGAUUCAUUGGGCGUAAAGGGUGCGUAGGCGGCGUGGUAAGUCGGGUGUGAAAUCUCGGAGCUUAACUCCGAAACUGCAUUCGAUACUGCCGUGCUUGAGGACUGGAGAGGAGACUGGAAUUUACGGUGUAGCGGUGAAAUGCGUAGAUAUCGGGAGGAACACCGGUGGCGAAGGCGGCAUCCUGGACCGGUAUUGACGCUGAGGCGCGAAAGCUAGGGGAGCAAACGGG
rnacentral:rRNA from 1 species